CCCGGCCCGGCCCGGCGCGGCGCCCGCGGGGAGGCCCCGGCGGCGGCGGCUGCCAAGGGGCCAGGCCUUACCUUGGAUGGACAGUUCACCAGGAGCCACCACGACCGAGCCCAAAGGUGACGCCGUCCCUCACAGAAUUUGAAACUGAGCCCUUUCAACUGCAGAGAAAGAAGUACUGCUUUAUUUCCCACUCACAAUGAAAUUAAACCAGCAAUUACCACAAAAAUGUGAAAUUUAUGACUGCAUUGAACCUGAUUCUGUUACUUCCACUUUAAAUUUAUAAGAGUGGAAGAAAAAAAUGAUUCAUCAAAGGUGGCUUUCAAGGGGAAAUAUUUUUAAGCUUUCAGUAGUUUUUUUUUUUUUUUAAUGAUACCUUAGGCAAAAACAAGUUUAUUCCAUAUUCACUAACAGUAGUUACCAAAGCAGCCAGGAAUCCAGUGAAAAAAACAAGGACAGAACAGCAGGGACAAAAAUAACGAACAAGAGAUAAAACUAAAGCAGUCCUCCACACAGGACACCAGUCUGGGGGCUGCUUUUAUGUUCUGGCAGAAGAUUUUUAUAGCAGAGUGCAAUACUCAAUAUCCCGAGGAAAAUAUUUUAUCCCUGCUUCUUAAAGGACUUGAACUUAAAUAUUUACUAGGCAUUCUGAACUAAUGUUAAUUCUCCUUAACACUGAGGCAGUUCAAAUCCUGGAUUUUCUAAUCUCAGUGGUGUUCUUCAUAAAAUUUCAUAUAAAUUGAUUUGGAUCUUCUUAAGGAAAUAUAUAUCAGAGUUGUUAUCUGGACCCUCUGAAAGCAGAAGUAGGUUCACAUAGCAGAUAAUGAAUGAUCAAGGUGUGUCAGGUUCUUUUCCCAGAACCUGAUCUUCUCAACAAAAAUUGUUCUUGGCGUACCCAAGGAUGGCAACAAAGCCAUUCUUCAUCUUUUAAACCCUGGGUUGGGGAAAACAAUAAUCCUGUUGCCCUUACUUUACAAGGAACAAUGAACUUCAAGGGUGGUGAAUCCACUUGCUUUGCCUCUAUUCUUUCUUCUGUGUCUCUGGUGUAAACAAGGAUAGUAUCCUUGAUCAUAGGUGGACUCCUGAUAUUCUGGUCAGAGAAGCUACACUUGAUCUGGGACUAUCCACACUAGAAGAAGAUGGUGAGAACAAGGAGGUCCUAUUGACCUCUUCAGCUAAAAACCAGUGUGCGUGGCAGCCAGCAGAUUCUCUCAGUUUCUUAGUGACUGUAUCUCCGUUUACUAGCCACAACCAUAAUACCAAAGGUAAACUUAAGGCAGAACACAGUAGUGUUACAGAAACCUCUACAUAUAUUCAUUUCUGUUUACUGUGGUUUUUCAUUUAUAUUUUUAGAUUACUGAAAGCUGUAGACUUGUCAGACAUGUAUAUUCAUCUGCAGAAUUAGGGAUGAACU